rnacentral:rRNA from 1 species
AUGAAUUCCCAGAGGUGGUGUGGUUUCCUGAAUCUGAUUACUCUGUCUCUACUCUUGUCUGAAAUGAAUGCGUGUUGUCGAAGAGAUCAUCUUGCUUCCUGUGCCCGUUUCCUCUUCGUCCAGGGGAAACAGAACAGCAGUAAAAUGCAGCUUGCACGAACGAAUGUUGUUCUUGGCAUUCUCUCUGUCCCUCUCCCAGAUAUCCGCAAACAUUAUUCUGCAGUUGCAGAACCAAAAUCCACAGGUGCCAGUGACUUCUCUGCUAGUGCUCAGCAAUUUGUUUCACCAUUCGAUUCUUCUCAUCAUAGUAAAAUGAGAAUGUCUGAUUAA